GGCUUCGUAGCUCAGCUGAUAGAGCAUUUGUCGCGUUUAUGCAUGUUGUUUCUGUCGCUGUUUCUGUGUCGCUGGUUCGAACCCAGCCGAAGUCC